rnacentral:rRNA from 1 species
CUACGGGACGUGCAGUGAGGAAUAUUGCGCAAUGGGGGGAACCCUGAUGCAGCAACGCCGCGUGGAGGAUGACGCAUUUCGGUGUGUAAACUCCUUUUAUAUGUCAAGAAAAUGACGGUAGCAUAUGAAUAAGCACCGGCUAACUCCGUGCCAGCAGCCGCGGUAAUACGGAGGGUGCAAGCGUUACUCGGAAUCACUGGGCGUAAAGGACGCGUAGGCGGGUUGGAAAGUCAGGUGUGAAAUCCUACAGCUUAACUGUAGAACUGCACUUGAAACUUCUAAUCUAGAGUAUGGGAGGGGGAGAUGGAAUUAGUGGUGUAGGGGUAAAAUCCGUAGAUAUCACUAGGAAUACCUAAAGCGAAGGCGAUCUCCUGGAACAUUACUGACGCUAAGGCGUGAAAGCGUGGGGAGCAAACAGGAUUAGAUACCCGAGUAGUC